UACGGAGGGUGCAAGCGUUAUCCGGAUUCACUGGGUUUAAAGGGCGCGUAGGCGGUGUGUCAAGUCAGGCGUGAAAGCCCCGGGCUCAACCUGGGAACAGCGCUUGAGACUGGCACGCUCGAGUUCGGGAGAGGAUGGUGGAAUUCCCAGUGUAGAGGUGAAAUUCGUAGAUAUUGGGAAGAACACCGAUGGCGAAGGCAGCCAUCUGGACCGACACUGACGCUGAGGCGCGAAAGCGUGGGGAGCAAACAGG
rnacentral:rRNA from 1 species